UUUCUGUUCCUCUCUCAAUCUCACGCAAAAAAAGGAACAAACAGUAACGACAAAUCCUCCCUUUCUCUCUCGAUUUUGUUUCGGAACAGCAACAAUAAGAUCCUUCUUCUCUUAGUCUCGCGAUGAUGAACAAUGGAAGAACACAACAUUCCUCCUCUCGACAACUCUCCUGGUUCUCCAUCGUUCAUGGCAACAACAACAAGAACUUCUCUUUCGAUUUCUCUCCCUACGAAACAACAACAACGGCGACAAAGCUCUCUCUCUGGUUUCUCUCUCGAACUCGCCGCUCACGGUCUCUCUCUUGCUGGGACGAAAACAAGAACAACAACAACAAACCUCUUUUACGGCGACCCUCUUCCUCUUUUAAUUUCGUUUACGGUAGCCAUGGGAGGAACAAAAGCGAAAAUCUAGAUUAAAUGAUAAUUGGAAGUAAAUUCAAGUGAAUUAAAGCAGGUAUUCAAAUCAGUGCAGCACAAAGAACAAACUAGCAUCAAAAUUUCUAAGAGGAAGUAAGGAAUAAGAACCUGAUCGGAGCAAGUCCGAUGAAUCAGUUCCGGCGUCGGCUUUUGACAGGUACAACAAUGGUUAGUGUAAAUAUUCAGAGUGAAAGAAGAAAGACUUACCUGUGGCGAGGAUGUUGAAGAGUCAUCUAUGGAGGCUCGAAGAUUAGAGCCAUUGAUGAAAAGCUGCCAGCAAGCAAGAGAGGUAUGAAGGCUUCUCUUCUCCCUCUUACUCUUUGUAACUUUCUGCAGAAUGUAACUUAGAAGUUACAGACUGUUUUUCUGUGUUCUCCUCCUUUUCUUCUUGUCAUAAUUGGUUUGCCUCUCUUCUAUAUAUAGAGAAAAAAAUGAAGGACAAUUUUGGUCAUUUUGGAACCAAAGCUUAGUCCUUAAGCUCACUUAGUUUCUAAGUUUUCAUCAUUGCAAAGAAUAUUCUUUCUAAAAUAAUCAUUGCAAAAAUUCCUUGAAUGCUAAGUUUGCUUAAUAGACAAGUUCCACAAAUUUGUGCACAUGGGAGAAUAUGCACAUGGGAUGGAAAGAUCCUUUCAUAACUUCUUGCAAGUUCCACGACAUAGUGUUGUUUUUAUGUCAUAAAAAUUGGUAACUUCUAAGUGUGUAGUUAUGACAUAAAAUAUCUUUCUUUGACUUUUUGACUUUUUUUGACUUUUUGACUUUAAUUGGGCUUUUGGGCCCUCUUGAAUUAUUUUUUGUGAGACUUGCUAAUUCCACCUUUUUUGUUUCUUUUUCAUGUCACAUGAGGAUUUGAAGAAAGAAUCGAAGAAACUUGGACUUGAAGAAUGGAAACUUGAAGAUGGAAGAAUUCAAGAAACUUUGCAUUUUCUUUUAUUCUUGUAAUUCCAAUAGAAUUUGUAUGAACUUGUAUUCUUGAAAAUGAAUGAAACUUUGAAUGUUGUAAUAUCUUGAAAGUUGAAUGAAGUCCACUUUGUAA